rnacentral:lncRNA from 1 species
UCUUAUUCAAACUGAACGGCAAUUUAUUAAUAAACAAACAAUGGAUAUGAUCAACAAAAAGAAAAGGAUGAUAGAAUGAGAUUAAUACAGUUUCCCUUUUUAUAAUGAGAGAAAAGGCACAUUUUAAAAGUUUCAGGCAAUUUAACUUGAAAAGUUUUUGGAACACUUUCUGGUGUUUGGUCCGUAACAUCCAACUACAAAUUAAAAAUAAAUUACUAUGUUGCAAUUUACAUUUAAAAACAAGUCCAUGAAUAAAAAGAAAGCGAUUUUCAUAAACAGGGACUUUCCCCCUUCUUUCGACAUAGGAUAAAAUAUUAUCUUACAGGUGAGAGGCAAGGCAGAGGCAGAGGGGCAAGACAAAAUGAGCAGGAAAGCGAGUCUCUGAACGCAAGAAACUUACGUGGUAUCUGGAGUAAACUGUCCUUUUAAUAAACCAUGAUUUUGCUGUCUGUACAAAAUAGUUUACGGUUUUGCUUACUUAGAUAAGGCAAAAAUGGAGGAGGUUCUGCAUUAAUCUUUUAGAAAAAUAGGUUUUCUUUUAAUUGAUGCUGGUGAGUUGAAUUUCAGGAGAGAUUCUGUUCGCUGGUGUGAUGAAUCUUCUCAAGUUUUAAAUUUUGUAAGUUUUUAGUUUCGAUUUUGCAUUGCUGGGUUCUUUUACUGUUCCUGCUCUGGGGUUCCAUUCCGUUUGGCUCUAAGGGUGCCGGGAAUAGGGUCAGAAUUUGCUACAGUCAUAGACGAAAGCCCCCGACGUGCGGUACAGAGACUGGCUGGCAGGAAAAGCCAUCUGACAGCUACUAUUCCCAUUCACCGGAGAGUUGUUUAAGCCGAUCCGCUGAGACUCGAACAUUUCCCGCACCGAGUGGAAGUUCUGCUGCUGGCCAGGAUAGCCCGCGGCCGCAGCAGCCGCCGCUGCGCUCGCCAAGUGACCCAGGUCUCCACCUGCCUGGUUCAGGUACCACGAGGUGAGUCGGCCUUGGUGGGACGCAGGGUGGUGGCUGGUCUCCUGCCCCGCCGUGACUCAGGGACGAAGAGCUGCUGCUGGUCGCUGGGGGCAGCGAGUAAUCGGGCAGGGGGUCGUCCACCGCCGCGCUGCCCCCGCCUCCGGCCGGACCCUGCAAGUGGCCGCCACGCUCGCCCGCCGCGUACAGGCUCAUGGCCUGCAGGUUGCAGUGGUAAGUGGCGGCGCCCCCCGUACCCGCUGCGCUGCUGCUGCCGC